rnacentral:tRNA from 1 species
GGUUCUUUAGCUCAGUUGGGAGAGCACCAGCUCGACAAGCUGGGGGUCGUAGGUUCGAGCCCUACAAGGACCA